GAUGAACGCUGGCGGCGUGCUUAACACAUGCAAGUCGAACGGGAAUUCCUUUAUUGAAACUUCGGUCGAUUUAAUUUAAUUCUAGUGGCGGACGGGUGAGUAACGCGUGGGUAACCUGCCUUAUACAGGGGGAUAACAGUCAGAAAUGGCUGCUAAUACCGCAUAAGCGCACAGAGCUGCAUGGCUCGGUGUGAAAAACUCCGGUGGUAUAAGAUGGACCCGCGUUGGAUUAGCUUGUUGGUGGGGUAACGGCCCACCAAGGCGACGAUCCAUAGCCGGCCUGAGAGGGUGAACGGCCACAUUGGGACUGAGACACGGCCCAGACUCCUACGGGAGGCAGCAGUGGGGAAUAUUGCACAAUGGGCGAAACCCUGAUGCAGCGACGCCGCGUGAAGGAAGAAGUAUCUCGGUAUGUAAACUUCUAUCAGCAGGGAAGAUAGUGACGGUACCUGACUAAGAAGCCCCGGCUAACUACGUG
rnacentral:rRNA from 1 species